rnacentral:rRNA from 1 species
UACGAAGGGGGCUAGCGUUGCUCGGAAUCACUGGGCGUAAAGCGCACGUAGGCGGACUCUUAAGUCGGUGGUGAAAUCCUGGAGCUCAACUCCAGAACUGCUUUCGAUACUGAGAGUCUUGAGUCCGGGAGAGGUGAGUGGAACUGCGGGUGUAGAGGUGAAAUUCGUAGAUAUUCGCAAGAACACCAGUGGCGAAGGCGGCUCACUGGCCCGGUACUGACGCUGAGGUGCGAAAGCGUGGGGAGCAAACAGG